rnacentral:rRNA from 1 species
AUUGCCCGCUGGCGGCAGGCCUAACCCAUGCACAUCUAACGAGUGGCGGACGGGUGAGUAAUGUCUGGGAAACUGCCUGAUGGAGGGGGAUAACUACUGGAAACGGUAGCUAAUACCGCAUACCAUCAGCUGUGCUCAGAUGGGAGUAGCUUGUUGGUGGGGUCACGGCGCACCAAGUCGACGAUCCCGAUCUGGUCUGAGAGGAUGACCAGCCACACUGGAACUGAGACACGGUCCAGACUCCUACGGGAGGCAGCAGUGGGGAAUAUUGCACAAUGGGCGCAAGCCUGAUGCAGCCAUGCCGCGGGUAUGAAGAAGGCCUUCGGGUUGUAAAGUACUUUCAGCGGGGAGGCGUUACCCGCAGAAGAAGCACCGGCUAACUCCGUGCCAGCUGCCGCGGUAAUAC